UACAGAGGAUGCAAGCGUUGUCCGGAUUUACUGGGCGUAAAGCGCGCGCAGGCGGCACUCUAAGUACGUCGUGAAAUAUCCCGGCUCAACCGGGAGGGUGCGAUGUAGACUAGGGAGCUAGAGGUCGGUAGAGGGGGGUGGAAUUGCUGGUGUAGCGGUGAAAUGCGUAGAGAUCAGCAGGAACACCCGUGGCGAAGGCGGCCCCCUGGGCCGUACCUGACGCUGAGGCGCGAAGGCUAGGGGAGCGAACGGG
rnacentral:rRNA from 1 species